rnacentral:lncRNA from 1 species
CGUGUAUAAAUGUCUGUUGAAUGUAAGCGAAAUUAAUCAAUGUUGGCUUUCUUUCCUUUCCAUUAGGUGUCAACUCAAACUUCCUCCUUCCCCAGUUUCAAAUAAAGAAGAAAUAAGAAAGUGUCUUUAUGAGUGGGAAGAAACACCAGUUUCCUCCCACACAGAAUCAAGAGGCUCUACGUGACCAAUGGAAGACCGUAGAAAGUGGUGCUGUGGCACUUCCGAAGACAGGUUCUAAAAAUCAACACAAGUCCAUUGAGCCUAUGAAGUGUUCCCUCCAGGUCAAGAUAACUGCCACGUCCUGGGGACCCUCAGGCAGCCCUGUGGGAGAAGCAACUUGCUUUCCACCACGUGAGAGAGCCACCUUGUGUCUUCUGGCUUCAGUCAAGCCUUCAAUGAUUCCAUCCCUCCCACCUUGA